rnacentral:rRNA from 1 species
AACGAACGCUGGCGGCAGGCCUAACACAUGCAAGUCGAGCGCGCCCUUCGGGGUGAGCGGCGGACGGGUGAGUAACGCGUGGGAACGUGCCCUUCUCUGCGGAAUAGCCCCGGGAAACUGAGAGUAAUACCGCAUACGCCCUUUGGGGGAAAGAUUUAUCGGAGAAGGAUCGGCCCGCGUUGGAUUAGGUAGUUGGUGGGGUAAUGGCUCACCAAGCCGACGAUCCAUAGCUGGUUUGAGAGGAUGAUCAGCCACACUGGGACUGAGACACGGCCCAGACUCCUACGGGAGGCAGCAGUAGGGAAUAUUGGACAAUGGGGGCAACCCUGAUCCAGCAAUGCCGCGUGAGUGAUGAAGGCCUUAGGGUUGUAAAGCUCUUUUACCCGGGAUGAUAAUGACAGUACCGGGAGAAUAAGCCCCGGCUAACUCCGUGCCAGCCGCCGCGGUAA